UGAAAUGUUAAGUCUGUUCCUCUCUCCACAGCUGCUGUGUGGUGGGCAUUUCCAGUUUUUAUUUCUUGGGUGGAAAUCAGCUUUCUUUCUUCAGGUCUGAGAUAAGCUAAUGUUAGUUGUUCACACAUUCUUUCAGUUAAAAUUAAUUAACUAUUAAUUAUUCAGGAGCCAAGAUCUCAGAGACUGCAGUCUUAUGUUACUCACAUGAGCCACACCUAGGCAGGAGAAGCAAAUAGGUAUGUGUUUUCCAUUCCACUGGUAAUUGUUCAUUUCACUUUUACAUGUCACUAAAACAAAAAUCUCCCACUUUUGCAUAACAGUGUAAGAUCAGCAGGAACUAUGUACGGUUAAACAGUUGAACUUGGAUUGAAUCCUACAUGCACCACACAGCCGACACUGCCCGAGCAAGGUGUACACACUUGGGAGGCUGGCACGAGAGAGAGAGAACCUCAAUGUUGGGCACCCUGUCCCUCCAGGAGAUGCCCAAGACGCGACGAAUGCGCCUUAACUGUAAGGUGUUGAGCCUUCUCUGCUUCUCAGUGUAUGUUGUCCAGGUCUCGCAGCUGUUGACACAAGCGUUGCACACUGCCAUCUUCUUUUUUGAAUGAGAGUUUGGAGCUCACCCAGGCUUGUACAGCGAGGCAGGCAAGAGUUGUUACCACCUUCUCGAUAUGCUAGUUGAUUCCUACAUCCUAGGAGAGGUCGUCACUGAUGAUGGACCCCAGGUUCAAAGGAACAUCUAUGCAAACCUGAUGCAUUUUGGAAACAAGUCCUGUGAACUGAUCAAGUUAAAAUAGAACUUUUUGGCCGCAAUGAGCAAAGGUAUGUUUGGAGAAAAAAGGGUGCAGAAUUUCAUGAAAAGUACCCCUCUCCAACUGUUAAGCACGGGGGUGGAUCGAGCAUGCUUUGGGCUUGUGUUGCAGCCAAUGGCACAGGGAAUGGCACAACUCUCUCCACUGGUAGAGGGAAGAAUGAAUUCAAUUAAAUACCAGCAAAUUCUGGAAAUAAACAUCACACAAUCUGUAAAAAAGCUGAAGAUGAAAAGAGGAUGGCUUCUACAACAGGAUAAUGAUCCUAAACACACCUCAAAAUCCACAAUGGACUACCUCAAGAGGCGCGAGCUGAAGGUUUUGCCAUAACCCUCACAGUUCCCUGAACUAAACAUCAUUGAGAAUCUGUGGAUAGACCGCAAAAGAGCAGUGCAUGCAAAACGGCCCAAGAAUCUCACAGAACUCGAAGGUCUUUUGCAAGGAAGAAUGGGCAAAAAUCCCCCAAGCAAGAAUUGAAAGACUCUUAGCCGGCUACAAAAAGCGUUUACAAGCUAUGAUACUUGCCAAAGUGGGUGUUACUAAGUGCUCACCAUGCAGGGUGCCCAAACUUUUGCUUCGGGCCCUUUUCCUUUUUUGUUAUUUUAAAACUG